rnacentral:rRNA from 1 species
UACGGGGGGGGCAAGCGUUGUUCGGAAUUACUGGGCGUAAAGGGCUCGUAGGCGGCCAACUAAGUCGGAUGUGAAAUCCCCAGGCUUAACCUGGGAACUGCAUCCGAUACUGGAUGGCUUGAAUCCGGGAGAGGGAUGCAGAAUUCCAGGUGUAGCGGUGAAAUGCGUAGAUAUCUGGAGGAGUACCGGUGGCGAAGGCGGCAUCCUGGACCGGCAUUGACGCUGAUGAGCGAAAGCUAGGGGAGCAAACGGG